CAAUGCUGACGAGUACCAAACAGGACGAAACAGCUGUCCAGUGC
rnacentral:hammerhead_ribozyme from 1 species